ensembl:snRNA U6 U6 spliceosomal RNA
UUUAGUGCUUGCUUCAGCAGCAUAUUAAAACACAUUAAAAAUUGUAACAUACAGAGAAGAUUAGCAUAGCCCCUGCACAAAGAUGGCAUACAAAUUCUCAAAGUGUUCCACAUUUCA